rnacentral:rRNA from 1 species
GUUGAACGCUAGCGGCAUGCUUUACACAUGCAAGUCGAACGAGUGGCGGACGGGUGGGUAAUAUAUCGGCACGUGCCCAGUCGCGGGGGAUAACUACUCGAAAGAGUGGCUAAUACCGCAUACGACUGUAUCGGCCGAUAUGGGAUUAGCUAGUUGGUGGGGUAAAGGCUCACCAAGGCAACGAUCCAUAGCUGGUUUGAGAGGAAGACCGGCCACACUGGGACUGAGACACGGCCCAGACUCCUACGGGAGGCAGCAGUGGGGAAUUUUGGACAAUGGGGGAAAGCCUGAUCCAGCCAUCCCGCGUGUAUGAGAAGGCUUUCGGGUCGUAAAGGACUGUUGGUAGAGAAGCGGUAUCUGAAGAAUAAGCAACGGCUAACUACGUGCCAGCAGCCGCGGUAAUAC